rnacentral:tRNA from 1 species
GCCCCGGUAGCUUAGUUGGUUAGAGCGCUGUACUUAUAAUGCGGAGGUCGAGAGUUCGA